rnacentral:rRNA from 1 species
UACGUAGGGUGCAAGCGUUAUCCGGAAUUAUUGGGCGUAAAGAGCUCGUAGGCGGUUUGUCGCGUCUGCUGUGAAAACUGGAGGCUCAACCUCCAGCCUGCAGUGGGUACGGGCAGACUAGAGUGCGGUAGGGGAGAUUGGAAUUCCUGGUGUAGCGGUGGAAUGCGCAGAUAUCAGGAGGAACACCAAUGGCGAAGGCAGAUCUCUGGGCCGUAACUGACGCUGAGGAGCGAAAGCAUGGGGGAGCGAACAGG